GAGCCCUUUUUAUUUUCCCUUUUUAUUUUGACGCGAGGGAGAAGGCGAGGUUAAACGGAGUGUGAAGGAGAGGAGAGGCGCCUUUCUGCCUUGGACUCCCCUGCGACCAAAAUCAUCGUCCCUCUUCGUCAAUCGACCGAUCGAGAGAGAGAGGGAUCAAUCGUCUCUGGCUGGACAGGCAGUUUCUCUCUUCCUCCAUCUCUCCAGCAGUCAGAGAUUUUCGUCUCCUUGUCAUCGGCCUCUGACGUCCUCCUGCUCUCUGGGCGUUCGUCCUCCCUCGUCAUCACGUACUGUUGCAUACUAUGACACAAAUAAAGUGUGAGAUACAGAUGAGAAAAAGCAGUCCGAAGAUUAACGCCAUUCUCCUCGGCGUGAAUGAUUCUCAUAGUCUUAUGCGCCUGCAGCAAGGCGACAACUUCAGUGUAUCUCAUGCUUGUUGAUCUAGUUAGCAUGGAUGUAACAAAUGCUUCAUAUCCACUACCAAGACCAUUCAACAGCAAGAAAAUUUUACUCUGAUCACAUAUUGGCUGGCCUAUAGCAGCAACACUUGUAGACUCUGAUAUAUUCAUUCAUGGAUAGCUGCUUCUUGCGGUGAAGUUGAAGCCUUUUGAGUUAAUAAAUACUCACGUUGCCUUGGAUCAUGAGCAAAGGUGGUAACGAGGGCAUCCCAAACUUCUUUUGAAGUCUCAAGCUCAACAAACAUACCGGGAAUUUUCUUUGACAGAGUUCCGGUUAUCCAUCCUCUUAACAAGCAGACAGAUUGCUUCCAAUCAGCAUAAUCUGAAUUUUCUACUGAUAUAUUAUUCUUAGAAAUCAAUUUCUCAGGCUUGGAAUAAUUUCCUUUAAUGUAUCGUUUCAUAUUUUGGCUUUCAAUUAAGCCAAGAAACUGGGUUUUCCGUAACAGAAAAUUGUACUGAUUUAAUUUCAGAGGUACAAACUUGGUCACGCUGAGAUUGUAAGCGUAGGGAUACUUAGCUUCGCUGUGUUCGCUUGUCGUCGACAUCUUCAAUUUC